ACGGUCUGUGGUUUAAGGAUCUUCCUUCAUCUUCAGCUGGGAAGCCACAAACGCCGUCCAGGGACCGUGGAUAAAUUGGUAAUGCAUACAGAAGGCAGUGGAGUGUCGUGGAAAAACGCGUUGCUUUCAAUUCAUAACCUAUUCCCUCAGCUCAGUCGGGGCUUAAGAACCUUUUUCAAACAUUAUCGCCGCUGACUUUACCGUCUCUUCCCAGAAAUCAAUUUCUAAAAGAAGCCCUCCAU